GCAUGUGGUUUAAUUCGAAGCAACGCGAAGAACCUUACCAGGUCUUGACAUCCUUUGACCACUCUAGAGAUAGAGCUUCCCCUUCGGGGGCAAAGUGACAGGUGGUGCAUGGUUGUCGUCAGCUCGUGUCGUGAGAUGUUGGGUUAAGUCCCGCAACGAGCGCAACCCUUAUUGUUAGUUGCCAUCAUUCAGUUGGGCACUCUAGCAAGACUGCCGGUGACAAACCGGAGGAAGGUGGGGAUGACGUCAAAUCAUCAUGCCCCUUAUGACCUGGGCUACACACGUGCUACAAUGGGAAGUACAACGAGUUGCGAAGUCGCGAGGCUAAGCUAAUCUCUUAAAGCUUCUCUCAGUUCGGAUUGCAGGCUGCAACUCGCCUGCAUGAAGCCGGAAUCGCUAGUAAUCGCGGAUCAGCACGCCGCGGUGAAUACGUUCCCGGGCCUUGU
rnacentral:rRNA from 1 species